UGCCCUUCGGGGAACCUGGAGACAGGUGCUGCAUGGCUGUCGUCAGCUCGUGUCGUGAGAUGUAGGGUUAAGUCCCGCAACGAGCGCAACCCUUGUCUUUAAUUGCCAUCAUUGAGUUGGGCACUUUAAAGAGACUGCCGGUGUUAAACCGGAGGAAGGUGGGGAUGACGUCAAGUCCUCAUGGCCUUUAUGCCCAGGGCUACACACGUGCUACAAUGGGUGGUACAACGAGUUGCGAGUCGGUGACGGCGAGCUAAUCUCUUAAAGCCAAUCUCAGUUCGGAUUGUAGGCUGCAACUCGCCUACAUGAAGUCGGAAUCGCUAGUAAUCGCGGAUCAGCACGCCGCGGUGAAUACGUUCCCGGGUCUU
rnacentral:rRNA from 1 species